AUGUUGUUGUUGUCUGUCUGUCUGUCUGUCUGUCUGUCUCUUUCUCAACAUAACAUCAGACAUUUACUCAGCCCAAGACAGACGUUAUUUUCAACCAGAAAAAGUAUUGUGAGAAAAUAUACUUACUCGACAUCCGGUCUGCAACAGCUAUAUGUUUACCACUCAUUUGACCUCCCUUCCCUGGAGCUAAAUUGGCCUAUUUAUUGGGCCCUCGUAACUGACACAACACAUUCUUAAUAUUGGCCAUAAAAUGUUCCUGUCCAUAUGCUGAUGCUGGGUACAUUGUGUAUAGACACACAGACACUCACAGAUAGAGGCAUACAGACAUGGUAUAAAUAUACUAGGAUAUUUUGAAUUUAUCUUAUAAAUCUACAUAGAGGCAGGUAUGUAUCCUGCAUUUGACAUUAAGGCAGAAAAGCUUCAAACGUAACAAGAAUGGCUGUGUGUGACUGUCUGAACAGCCUCCUUUCUGGCCAAGCUCGUUCUUUCGAUUCCCUCCAAUCCUGAAAUCACCCUGACAAAAUCCUCUCAGUCUGCCCUGUCAAAACAUCUCUCCCCUCAUCAGUUUCCAAUCUGUUGCUUUGGUGACAACUGAUGCAGUAAGUGAGAAGAGACUGGUGAAUAAAUACAGUGUGACUGGGUAAGUGAUGGAAUGUAAAUUUGUGCUGCUGAUGAUAUUAUCCUAAUCCUUCAAACAUAUUUAGCAAAAAACAAGAAUAAAUAGAAAACAGGCAGAACAUAUACUCUAAAGUAUCUCAUGGCUUAUCCUCAGAAAGUAAAAAAUAAUAAUAAUUUUCGUAUGUAAAAACUGGAGAGUCCACAAGCAGCAGGUGUGGUGGUGUAGUGAUAGUGACUUCUCCUUUAUCUACGAGUUCUGAAACGUCUCAUCAACUUGAAAAGCAACAAAGGAAGACUUACAGCUGAAAACCUGUCACCACAGAAACAGACUGAGCAUGUGACACACGCACACUCACACACGCGCACACACACACGCACAUGUGCGCACAC
rnacentral:lncRNA from 13 species